rnacentral:rRNA from 1 species
AGAGUUUGAUCCUGGCUCAGGACGAACGCUGGCGGCGUGCUUAACACAUGCAAGUCGAACGGAGCCCAUCCGGUGGCAACACUGGUGAAGACUCAGUGGCGAACGGGUGCGGAACACGUGAGCAACCUGCCCCAAAGACCGGGAUAACACCGGGAAACUGGUGCUAAUACCGGAUACCCCCACGAGCUCGCAUGGGCUUGUGAGGAAAGGGUUUCCGCUUUGGGAGGGGCUCGCGGCCUAUCAGCUUGUUGGUGAGGUAACGGCUCACCAAGGCGACGACGGGUAGCUGGUCUGAGAGGACGAUCAGCCACACUGGGACUGAGACACGGCCCAGACUCCUACGGGAGGCAGCAGUGGGGAAUCUUGCGCAAUGGGCGAAAGCCUGACGCAGCAACGCCGCGUGGGGGAUGAAGGCCUUCGGGUUGUAAACCCCUUUCAGUGGGAACGAAAUUGACGGUACCCACAGAAGAAGCCCCGGCCAACUACGUGCCAGCAGCCGCGGUGAUACGUAGGGGGCGAGCGUUGUCCGGAUUUAUUGGGCGUAAAGAGCUCGUAGGCGGCUUGGUAAGUCGGGUGUGAAACCUCCAGGCUCAACCUGGAGACGCCACUCGAUACUGCCCUGGCUAGAGUCCGGUAGGGGAUCACGGAAUUCCUGGUGUAGCGGUGAAAUGCGCAGAUAUCAGGAGGAACACCAGUGGCGAAGGCGGUGAUCUGGGCCGGUACUGACGCUGAGGAGCGAAAGCGUGGGGAGCGAACAGGAUUAGAUACCCUGGUAGUCCACGCCGUAAACGUUGGGCACUAGGUGUGGGGCCUUAUCGACGGGUUCCGUGCCGCAGCUAACGCAUUAAGUGCCCCGCCUGGGGAGUACGGCCGCA